rnacentral:ncRNA from 1 species
GCGAUGAAGCGGGAGGUUGCGGCAGAAGAAGCCGGUUUUUCCGUGGAGUAUGUCCGAUUUUAAACCGGGCGACA